GUGGGGAAUCUUAGACAAUGGGGGAAACCCUGAUCUAGCCAUGCCGCGUGAGCGAUGAAGGCCUUAGGGUUGUAAAGCUCUUUCAGCUGGGAAGAUAAUGGCGGUACCAGCAGAAGAAGCCCCGGCUAACUCCGUGCCAGCAGCCGCGGUAAUACGGAGGGGGCUAGCGUUGUUCGGAAUUACUGGGCGUAAAGCGCACGUAGGCGGAUCAGAAAGUCAGAGGUGAAAUCCCAGGGCUCAACCUUGGAACUGCCUUUGAAACUCCUGGUCUUGAGGUCGAGAGAGGUGAGUGGAAUUCCGAGUGUAGAGGUGAAAUUCGUAGAUAUUCGGAGGAACACCAGUGGCGAAGGCGGCUCACUGGCUCGAUACUGACGCUGAGGUGCGAAAGCGUGGGGAGCAAACAGGAUUAGAAACCCGGGUAGUCC
rnacentral:rRNA from 1 species